rnacentral:rRNA from 1 species
AACGAACGCUGGCGGCGUGCCUAAUACAUGCAAGUCGAACGCAGUGGGGACGGGUGAGUAACACGUGGGUAACCUCCCAUCAGAGGGGAUAACACUUGGAAACAGGUGCUAAACCGAUAUUGAAGGAUGGACCCGCGGUGCAGUAGCUAGGUGGUGAGGUAACGGCUCACCAAGGCCACGAUGCAUAGCUGACCUGAGAGGGUGAUCGGCCACACGGGAACUGAGACACGGCCCAGACUCCUACGGGAGGCAGCAGUGGGGAAUAUUCGGCAAUGGACGAAAGUCGGACCGAGCAACGCCGCGUGAGUGAAGAAGGUUUUCGGGUCGUAAAACUCUGUUGUUAGAGAAGCGGUAUCUAACCAGAAAGCCACGGCUAACUUCGUGCCAGCAGCCGCGGUAAUUC